rnacentral:rRNA from 1 species
UAGGGAAUCUUCCGCAAUGGACGAAAGUCUGACGGAGCAACGCCGCGUGAACGAUGAAGGUCUUCGGAUCGUAGAGUUCUGUUGUUAGGGAAGAACAAGUACCGUGCGAAUAGAACGGUACCUUGACGGUACCUAACGAGGAAGCCCCGGCUAACUACGUGCCAGCAGCCGCGGUAAUACGUAGGGGGCAAGCGUUGUCCGGAAUUAUUGGGCGUAAAGCGCGCGCAGGCGGUUCCUUAAGUCUGAUGUGAAAGGCCACGGCUCAACCGUGGAGGGCCAUUGGAAACUGGGGAACUUGAGGACAGAAGAGGAGAGUGGAAUUCCACGUGUAGCGGUGAAAUGCGUAGAUAUGUGGAGGAACACCAGUGGCGAAGGCGACUCUCUGGUCUGUUUCUGACGCUGAGGUGCGAAAGCGUGGGUAGCAAACAGGAUUAGAUACCCUGGUAGUCCACGCCGUAAACGAUGAGUGCUAGGUGUUAGGGGGCUUCCACCCCUUAGUGCUGAAGUUAACGCUAA